CAGGCAGGUGUAGGGUGGAGC
rnacentral:miRNA from 1 species